rnacentral:rRNA from 1 species
GUGUCAGCAGCCGCGGUAAUACGGAGGGUGCAAGCGUUAUCCGGAUUCACUGGGUUUAAAGGGUGCGUAGGUGGAUUGGUAAGUCCGUGGUGAAAUCCCCGAGCUUAACUUGGGAACUGCCAUGGAUACUAUUAAUCUUGAAUGUCGUGGAGAUGAGCGGAAUAUGUCAUGUAGCGGUGAAAUGCUUAGAUAUGACAUAGAACACCAAUUGCGAAGGCAGCUCGUUACGCGAAUAUUGACACUGAUGCACGAAAGCGUGGGGAUCAAACAGGAUUAGAUACCCUGGUAGUCCACGCCCUAAACGAUGGAUACUCGACAUACGCGAUACACUGUGUGUGUCUGAGCGAAAGCAUUAAGUAUCCCACCUGGGAAGUACGAUCGCAAGAUUGAA